CCUACGGGAGGCAGCAGUGGGGAAUAUUGCACAAUGGGGGAAACCCUGAUGCAGCGACGCCGCGUGAGUGAAGAAGUAAUUCGUUAUGUAAAGCUCUAUCAGCAGGGAAGAAAAUGACGGUACCUGAGUAAGAAGCCCCGGCUAACUACGUGCCAGCAGCCGCGGUAAUACGUAGGGGGCAAGCGUUAUCCGGAUGUACUGGGUGGAAAGGGAGCGUAGACGGCAGUGCAAGUCUGGAGUGAAAGGCGGGGGCUCAACCCCCGGACUGCUCUGGAAACUGUACGGCUGGAGUGCAGGAGAGGUAAGUGGAAUUCCUGGUGUAGCGGUGAAAUGCGUAGAUAUUAGGAGGAACACCAGUGGCGAAGGCGGCUUACUGGACUGUAACUGACGUUGAGGCGCGAAAGCGUGGGGAGCAAACAGGAUUAGAUACCCCUGUAGUC
rnacentral:rRNA from 1 species